rnacentral:rRNA from 1 species
AGGAUGAACGCUGGCGGCGUGCUUAACACAUGCAAGUCGAACGAUGAAGGCUGGAGCUUGCUCUGGCUGGAUUAGUGGCGAACGGGUGAGUAACACGUGAGUAACCUGCCCCAGACUCUGGGAUAAGCGCUGGAAACGGCGUCUAAUACCGGAUACGAGCUUCCACCGCAUGGUGAGGAGCUAGGAAAGUAAUUUCGGUCUGGGAUGGACUCGCGGCCUAUCAGCUUGUUGGUGAGGUAAUGGCUCACCAAGGCGACGACGGGUAGCCGGCCUGAGAGGGUGACCGGCCACGACUGGGACUGAGACACGGCCCAGACUCCUACGGGAGGCAGGCAGGUGGGGAAUAGUUGACACAA